UUUAUGGAGAGUUUGAUCCUGGCUCAGGACGAACGCUGGCGGCGUGCCUAAUACAUGCAAGUCGAGCGGACCGACGGGAGCUUGCUCCCUUAGGUCAGCGGCGGACGGGUGAGUAACA
rnacentral:rRNA from 1 species